UGAUGUCAGUUCCUUUUCCUGUCUGAAGUCCCAACGGGAAGCUUUGAUGACAUCACAGAGAACCUCGGGGUCUUUUUCACCCAGAAAGCUGCCGGCUUGGCGCCGAAUCAUUCAGCUUUGCUGGUUUUGCGGGACCCGACAACA